rnacentral:rRNA from 1 species
UACGGGGGGGGCAAGCGUUGUUCGGAAUUACUGGGCGUAAAGGGCUCGUAGGCGGCCAACUAAGUCAGACGUGAAAUCCCUGGGCUCAACCCAGGAACUGCGUCCAAGACUGGGAGGCUUGAAUCCGGGAGAGGGAUGCGGAAUUCCAGGUGUAGCGGUGAAAUGCGUAGAUAUCUGGAGGAACACCAAUGGCGAAGGCAGCUCGCUGGGACGGUAUUGACGCUGAGACGCGAAAGCGUGGGGAGCAAACAGG